rnacentral:rRNA from 1 species
CCUACGGGUGGCAGCAGUGGGGAAUAUUGCGCAAUGGGCGAAAGCCUGACGCAGCGAAGCCGCGUGAGGGAUGACGGUCUUCGGAUCGUAAACCUCUGUCAGCAGGGAAGAAAGGUCACUGUGCUAAUCAGCAGUGAAUUGACGGUACCUGCAAAGGAAGCACCGGCUAACUCCGUGCCAGCAGCCGCGGUAAGACGGAGGGUGCGAGCGUUAAUUGGAAUUACUGGGCGUAAAGCGCUCGUAGGCGGUAUGGCAAGUCAAGGGUGAAAGCCCCGGGCUCAACGUGGGAACUGCCUUUGAUACUGGCAAACUGGAGUGUGGUAGAGGAUGGUGGAAUUCCUGGUGUAGGAGUGAAAUGCGUAGAUAUCAGGAGGAACAUCGGUGGCGAAGGCGACUAUCUGGCACAUAACUGACGCUGAGGAUCGAAAGCGUGGGUAGCAAACAGGAUUAGAUACCCUGGUAGUC